rnacentral:lncRNA from 1 species
UUUUUUUUUUUUUUUUUUUGUCAUUUCUUGGGCUGCUCUCAUGGCAUAUGGAGGUUCCCAGGCUAGGGGUCAAAUCGGAGCUACAGCUGCCGGCCUACGCCACAGCCACAGCAAUGCCAGAUCCGAGCCUUGUCUGCUCCUUACACCACAGCUCAUGGCAACAGAGGCCAGGGAUUGAACGCACAUCCUAAUGGAUCCUAGUUGGAUUCAUUUCUGCUGUGCCACGAUGGGAACUCCCCUUCCUUUGUAUUUUAAAGAACAGUGUCUAAAGUAGGUCCCAUCCUUUUGUUAUUCUCAACCACAGUUCCAACGGUUGAGUGUCUCCUGGGAUAUGCAUGCUCUGUUCCAUUUCUUUCUUUUUUUAAACAGACCCAGAGUCCCAGAAGAAGUUAGAUGUUGUGCUUACAAACUGCAUACACAUGGGCAUCAUGGAAGUGCAAAACUCCAAUAAAGAAAUAAGCACAUGGUUUCUUAGUUCAUUUUUUAUGUUAAUGAUGAAAGUGCAGGUAAGAAAAUAAGAACUAGCCUUAAGGACAUAUAAGUGAUGGAAAGAGAAGGAAAAUUCUAGGUGGAGCCCAGAGAAGUUAUCAUUCUCUUCCUAUCAACAUUGGGUGGAUGUGCAGGCCCCUUGCUUUAUAGCAGCAGAACAAAAUAAAAUGACUGAUGAUCAAAGAAACUCACAGAUGCCUACAGAAUUAAAUUAUCAACCCACUUUGACAUUUUGCAAGUAUAAAUAGAAACAGAAAUAACUAGAGGUGUAGAAAUAGUUGAAGAAGCCCCUCAACAUUAAAUUCUAAACUUCAAAUUUGAAACACCUAGAGAUUGGGGUUUCUCUGUAAUCUAUAAAUCAGCCUUGAUUCAAAGAAAUAGCCAGGCUGGCAUGGGGGAGCAACUUUAGAUCUGGCCAGCACAGGACCUGGGGAGGCUCAGUAGAGACCCACUAUCUGUUAAUAAGGAAGAAGACCCAAAACAGAGCCAGGACAAAUAAUUCUGUCAUUUUAAUGUCAAAAGUGUCCAACCAUUCUUUAUUGUGAAAAGGAUACAUAAUUAAGCUGUAUCUUUAUAUUAUUAUUUUUUUUUUACUAUUUGGCAUAUUAUUCAUUCCCAGUGAUGUUUCAUUUCUCCUCAAAUGAUUCUUUUGCAACCUUUAGAAAGCCCUGCAAUUUCCUUUUCAUUUGGCCGAACGUGGCAGACACAGGAGGGAGAGCUUCUAAAUCCUGUUGCUCAGAAUAUGGCUUUUUUUUUUUUUUUUUUUUNNNNNNNNNNNNNNNNNNNNNNNNNNNNNNNNNNNNNNNNNNNNNNNNNNNNNNNNNNNNNNNNNNNNNNNNNNNNNCAGCCUACACCAGAGCCACAGCAACGCCAGAUCUGAGCCACGUCUGUGACCUAUAGCACAGCUCAUGGCAAUGCCUGAUCCUUAACCCACUGAGUAAGGCCAGGAAUCGAACUCAAAACCUCGUGGUUCCUCGUGGUUUCUGCUGCGCCACAACGGGAACUCCCAGAAUAUGUUUAAAAAAAAAAAAAAAAGCAGGACCCCAGACAGGUGUGUAACUGUUUGAAUGGGCUAUCUCUUAUACAACUAGGAAUAAGACCUACUUGGAAGAAGUUUUGCUCUAGAAACUGUUGAUGCUCUUGACUUAUUGAGGGGAGUUCCAUAAAAUGGCCAUUACCAACUGUAUAAGACAAAACUCGUGUUAGCUCAAAGGUUAGUCCCUGUUUUAAAAUCCCAAAAAAGAUAAACCCUAUUAUGGGCCAUUUCCACUUUCCCCACUGCUUCCCUGACAAGAGGUAAUGUGGGUCUGAGGAGGAAACUGAAGAUUCAUGGCCCAAAUAGAGCAGAAGUCUUGUCUUGUGUAACUGCCCAAAUGCUAAUACAAACUCAUUGUUGCUCAAUUUGUUCUUUAAAAGCUGUGCUUUAUUCUAUUAACUUUGAUUUGCCCUCUUAGCUUCUGUCAUUUUUCCAUACUGGACUGUCCUGGCAAUCCUCCUCACCUUUCUGUCUGGGUUUCAGUCUCUGACAGGGGCUCUGUGCCUAGGUCUCCCUGCCAGGAUCCAUCUGGCCCAUCGGUAACUAACAGUCAUCUUAGCCUUGUCCAGUGGUGAUAGCUUCACCCGUAGAUUUAACUGAGACAAAACUGAACAACUUACCAUAAAUAUCGGAGUCAAGAAAAAAUUAUUAGGAGACUAGGCGUACAUAAGUUUAGAUAAAAACAGAGAAGGCAGGACGACAGUGUGGUCCAAGUAAUUUUCUCUGUGCAAAGAUGCCUUCUAUUUAGUAUAACUAAACACAUUACUUCUGGGGAAAAAAAAAAACAACAACAAAAAUUCACACUCCAAAAAAGGGAGAAAAACUAGUAUUGAGAGCAAUUAUGAGUAUGACUUAAAAUGUCACUUUUUAUCUGUUGUACAGGAGAGUAAAUAUCAUGAAAACUUAACCAUGAUAAGGAAAAAAAAAACACUUAACCAUGAUGAAAUAUUUGUCAAACAGUAUUUGUUCCUAUAUUAAGAAAUUAAUACCCACAUGCACAACUUUGAGUUGAUAGAAACUAAAAACUUAAGGUAAUAGAAUUAAGGAUUUCAUUUUCCUUUUUAGAGUUUUAUAUAUUUUUCAAAUUUUUUGGAAAGGCGUUUUGGAAAUAGAAAAAAAAAAAA